GAAAUCUUGUGAACCUAUGGAAUUCUAAUGCUUUUAUAUGUUUAACAAAUAUAUAUGGUUGUAAAUAAACUGAACUGUGUUGAAAGAGAAUUAUUAAUAUAUGAAUCAAAGUAUUGAAAAAACAUAGAUAUAUGUUGUUAUUAAGACUUUAAGUGAUAAAUCUAAUGGUGGAUAUAAGAUAAUUUUGUAGUGAUAAAGAGAAAAGAAAUUUUGAUGUAUUUGCAACUGUUGUAAAUGGAAUUUGAAAUAUGUUUGAUUUUUUUUGCCUUUAAAAGUCACAGGUCCUGAUAAAAUACUGUAGUUUAUUGUCCCCCCUUUAUAUAAGCAAAGGGAAUGGUUAAUUUUAGUUAGAAGUAGGUGUGAUAAAGAUAUAACUUUUACCCAUCCAAGUUACCAGACCUUCUCAGUUCUAUCAGUAGACCUCUUUGGGGCAAGUUACAGGAAGUUACAAACUACUGCUCUAGAGUAUAUACCCAGGAGUGGGAUUUCUGUUAUGAAACUUAUAUUCAUCUUUGCUAAAUAGUGCCAGAAUGUUUUGUAAAUUUAUACAGCUUAUAGCAGUGUGUGAGGUUUUAAACCAACUUUUUUUAUUGCUCAUCUGGCCUGAUGAAUGUGAAGAUGUAUUUUUUAUACCCCAUAUAAUGAAUGCUAUCAGUUGCAGGGUGGUGGAAAUUAUGGAGGGCAAAAGAAAAAAUCUGCUUGAUGAUGUUCCUGCUUGGUUCUGCCCUAAGGUCAGGCUCAUGCAGCUGCACAGAAGGAAACAGAAGUGGGUCCAAUGCUGGCCCAGCAGAGUAGGAGGGCAGUAGCUACAUAUGAACUCUGCAUGCUUAUGUUCUGUUGCUCUGUCACUGGGUGUUUCAGGAUACUGCCUACGAUUUUCUGAUUCCUUCUUUAUGAUAAAAGUUCAGAUGUUCCUCUAUUUCUUAUGAUGGCUGGUUGGUAAACAGCUUACAGGAAAUCAGAACUCAUCAGAUUAAAACUUCCUGUGAAAAACAUACCAAGUUUUCUGUUCAAGGCUUACUGAAGAUUCUGGAGGGAGGAACACAGCAAUGUCAGAAAUAACUAAGAUAACAGAGACCUAUCCUGCUUGGUGUGAGAGGAGGAGUGGAUCACUGCUUUAGUUCCUGAGACUAUCAUGGACCUCUUCCCUCUUCAAAAUGAGAAUUGUAUGAUACAAAACCCUUGACACACCAGUGUGAUAGCAAUAAAAUCAAGAUGCUGCCUGUGUGUGCCCAGGGACAGGAGGAUAGCUGCCUCCACAAGUGAGUCACUAAUAGGGUAGAAAUUAGCAAAUGGAGGUACAGGGUGGGCUGAUAGCAUCUGCUUAGUAGCAGGAAUGAAGCAUCAUGUCAGGAGGGUUUAUUUCUGCCUUCAUCUUACUUCUUGUUGUAAGGAAAGGCAAGUGAGUUUUGAGGGAAGAGAGCUUGGAAUACAUCAUACCUACAUCUAAGUGAGCUUAGCCUGUUUCUCUAUUUGAGGUCAGCCUAGGUUCCAAAGUCAGAGCAAAAGAAUCUGGAUACAUAGGAUGUGGAAGAUACACUAUGGCCUGUCCUGUAGUGGCAGAGCUACAGGACAGACUGUCGUAGGUCUAGCUUCCAUCCCUGGCCCUGCUACAGAUGAGCUAGUGGCUUCCAGCAGUUCACUUUAUGUAGGUCUGUUUUUCACCUUUAAAUGAGCAAUGAAGGGACAGAAAACCUCUUAACAACUCUGGGUUUUAACAACUCUGACAUUCUGAAAUUCAGUUUGGGAAGGAGAUCUGAACCAUUUUUUUUCCUGACAAUUUCAGGAAGUUGGGUUGCUUUUGAUAGUUUUCUGCUGCUUUCUCAGCAUCAUGCUUGUGGGGUGAGAACAAGCAAUUUUAAAUGAGUGUGCCAAGAAGUCUUGGCUACUGUUCUAAAAUAAUAGCUAAUCUACUUAACUCUCAUGAAUGCCAGAAGACACUAGACAUAGCUUAUGAUGCCAUUCCCUAAAGUUUCUUGUGACUAUGAAAGAUCACAUCUCAUUGAUAUAUUGUUUAUAUCUUCAGAAUAAUUUCCUGGAGACCUUGACUUGAUAUUAGUGAAUGACUGAUGCCAAGAGCAAAUGAACCAAAUCUUGGUGGUGCUUGGCUUGACAUAGUCCCCUGGGCCUUAUGUUCAGGGUUCCAGUCACACUGUGGUAUAUCUGAAGAACAUGUGUCACUGUAGCCCUUGUUUUCUGCCUCAUCUUUUUAUGAUUGAGAUCUGGAAAGUCCCCUAAAAGGCUUGAUUGCUAGCUGAUGGGCUUUUAGGAAUUGAUUGGAUCAUAGGGCUGUAAUUUAAUCAGUGGAUUAAUCCAUUGAUUCAUAAUUUGAUAUUAUUGGAAAAUGAUGGACUCUUAGGAGGUGAAGCUUAAUUGAAUGAUGUAGGUCACUGGGGGCUUUGAUUUGAAGAUUGUAUUUUAUCCCUGAUCCCUUGCACUCUGGCUUUCUCAUUUUUUCUACUUCCUGGUGGUCAUGAGGUGAGCAACUAUGCUGUGCUAUGCUCUCUCUGCCAUGAUGUUCUGCUUCACACAGGCCUAGAGACAAUGGAGCCAGGCAACCAUGGAUUGAAACCUCUGUGAGAAUAAAUCUUUCUUCCUUUAAGUUGUUAUUCUCAGGUAUUUUGUCAUAGCUAACACACAGUUCUCGUCUAUGAGGACACAUGGUGUCACAGACGAAACAACACUGCAGAUAUCCUUCAGAAUUCUACAGGAAGACAUUUCAGACUAUCUGUGGAAGACAUAUAUGUAGAUCAUAGUGAAAAUGUAACUAAUUAAACUUGGCCAAUGCUUCAUCAUGCUGAAUAGAGUACAAAUAGUACACUGGAGUGCUGGAGAGACUCUAGCACUGAUGGUUCCACUGAAAGUUUAGGACAUUAUCCCAAACUAGAAAAGAUGAUUAGAGGUAUUGUGAACAUUCAGUUGUUGGUUUAAAGCUGAGGCAGUCUGGUCUAGAAUAAAAUAAAUAUGAAUAUAAAUUUGAAUUCUGGCACUUAGGACCAGUUGCUCGACAAUAGAGAACUUAUUUUUUAAUUAAAACUUUAGCCUGUAAUAAAAUAUGCUAUUAAUAUUGUUUCUAUAACUUUGUUAAAGUUAAAUAAAAUGAUAUGUUUUUUAAAAAUAAAAUGGAAUACUAAGCCAUAAAGAAUGAGAAACUAGAGACACUUAUAGCUAAAUGGAUGCACAUUGAGGCCAUACUCUUUUGGGUUAUUUUUG